CGCGUAGGCGGUCUUUUAAGUCAGGUGUGAAAGCCCGGGGCUCAACCUCGGAAGUGCACUUGAAACUAAGAGACUUGAGUAUGGGAGAGGGAAGUGGAAUUCCUGGUGUAGCGGUGAAAUGCGUAGAUAUCAGGAGGAACAUCAGUGGCGAAGGCGACUUCCUGGACCAAUACUGACGCUGAGGCGCGAAGGCGUGGGGAGCAAACA
rnacentral:rRNA from 1 species